CGCAAAAACUUGAGCCGCUCGGCGAGUUUAUCUUCCAGCGGCUGCUCUGAUCUGCAUGCAAACGUGAACGAAGCCGGGAGAAAGCUCGACCUUUUGCGUUUUCAUGUAUUAUUUCUAAAAUCGAAUGAACAAGAAAUAAGGCGCUUUUGCAUUGCUGUCACCUAAAAGUAUGAACAGGGCUUUUUCUUUUUAUUUUAAAAAAAGGUGUACAGAUCCGGAUCGGAAGCGGAUCUAGAUCGGAUCGGCGCAGAGCCCUGCACUGCUGUCCCCUAGUGUAACGCAUAGCAAGUAACAGGGAGGAGAGUCCGCAGGGAGGGAAGACAGAACACAGUGAGCCAGACAGCCGUGCGAGUUUAAAGCAACUCCGCCACCUAGCGUCUGGGAGGGAAUGCGCACUGUAUCCGCAUAGAGGAUCGUGGAGGAGCCGGGGCCUAUCCAGCAUGCAACAGAUGCAAGGCAGAAUACACCCUGGACCAGUCCAUAGCAGGGCACACACAAACACACACGGGCAAG